CAACCUUCAAGCUCUGCUUGGUAUUGGGCGUCACAUUGAGAGUGCGCCUUAAAAUUAGUGGUGGUGCCACUUAGGUUCCAGCGUAGUAAUCCUCUCGCUGUGGACACCUGGGUGUGCUUUUCCAAUAAGUAUUUUCCAAA
rnacentral:misc_RNA from 1 species